UAAAAAUUUAAUUGUUGAGUUUUUAAAAAAUAGGUAUAUUGUUUUUGAAAUGUAAAUAAUUUUAAAAAUGUUUCGAUAGUUUAGGGUAUUGAAAGAGAUUUUUGAAAAAAUGAAAAAAGUUUUAUAAAAUAGUAAUGUAUUUGUACCUUUUGUAUCAGGGUUUAACUAAAUUAAUUAAUUAUUUAUACAUCUCGAAAAGUUUUGAGCUAUUUAUUUGUAUUUAUUUGCUGUUUCAGUAGUAAAUUGUUAUAUAAAUAGAAAUGAAAUUUUUUUCAAAAAGUUUGAUAUCUGGUUAUUGAAGAAAAAUUAAAUGUUUUAGAUAGCUAAAUUAUUUUAAAAGGGUUAUUAAUUUUCUUUUUAGGGAUAAGCUUAAAAAGUUUUUAAAAAGGUUUUAAAAAUUUAUUGAAGGUUUAGAAGUUACUUAUUAUUUGUAAUAAAGUAAUAUUUUUAUUGUUGUUUUUAUUAAUUUUUUCUUAAAAAAUUUUUAUUAAAAGAAUUAAUGUUAAAAUUAGUAUAAGUUUUAAUUUAAGUUUAUAAUUAAUAUUUUAAGAUUUUAGCAAUUAGAUUUUUAGAAAUUAGGCAUAGAAAGUCUUUGAACGUUUAUCAAAAACAUAGUAUCUUGGUGGUAGUAAGAUAUGAAACCUGCUCAAUGUUGAUAAAUUGCUGUGGUAUUUUGACUAUACGAAGGUAUUGAAAUAAGGCUUUAAUUGAGUGCUAAGAGAAUGGUUAAACAAGGACUAACUUUCUUAAAAUUUAUAAUAAAAGUUAAUUUAAAAAUGAAAAAGUUUUUAUUUAUUUUUGGGACAAGAAGACCCUAUGAAUUUUUUUUAAAAAGUUAUUUAUUAUUUUUAAAAGGGAAAAUGAAGUAUUUUUUUAAAUUGGUUGGGGUGAUUUUUAAAGAAUAAUUAUCUUUAAAAAAAGUUGAAAGUAGAACCAUAUUUUGUGGAUAUUUAAUCUAAAUACUCUAGGGUUAACAGCGAUUUUGGAUAGUUCAUAUAGAUAAAAUAGUUUGCGACCUCGAUGUUGGAUUAAGAUACUUAUAUAAUGAAGAAGUUAUAUUAAGGAGUUUGCUCAACUUUUAAAAUCUUACAUGAUCUGAGUUCAGACCGGCGUGAGCCAGGUUGGUUUCUAUCUAAAUAAUAAUAUAUAUUUUUAUAGUACGAAAGGAAUUAAAAUUAUAAAAUUUUUAUUAAAUUAUAAAAAAUUAAAUAAUUAU
rnacentral:rRNA from 1 species